GCACUUCGCUAGGGGUGCUGGCUCAUCAGAUGAGCCGGCUGAGAUAAAACCCUUUGAACCUGAUUGAGUUAAUCCUCGCGCAGGGAAGCCAGCUCGCAUGCUG
rfam:Paucibacter sp. KCTC 42545, complete genome.